GGCUUCUGUCAAUAUUUGUCCAAAAACUGAAACAGAGGUUCUUAUUGCAUCGAGAAGACUAGGAUGUAACAAUCAUACAAAUGAUAGAGAUCCAUAUAUGUGUAUUCCCAAUAAGGAAAAAACAUCCUUGGUAGAAUUCUGUUAUAAUUCAGUAAUGGGAAUUCAUGAAAAAGGAAAUUGUCUUGAAGCCAGUGUAGGAAUGGUUACUGAAUACAGCUGCAAGAAUUUCUCAUAUGGAUGCCCGGACAAAACCUUUUUUAAAGAUGAGUUUUAUAAAUUCAUUUAUCCGGGUCUCUAAAAACCUUCCAGUCGGCAUGGAAAACGGUAUGCUGCGUCAAAACAACACAUGGCACAGUAUUCUAUCAGCACUUAUCAAUUUGAACAUUGAUUAAACUAUCGAUACAUGUAUAAAUUGAAGUUUAAUGAUAUACGGGGUAGUUUGUUCAAGUCGGAUUUUUAUAUCAUAAACAACGACAAAGGAAAGCCUGGCCGAAAAAUAAAAGAAAUUCACAUACGUUUUAUCGAAUAAUUGAUAAAAGCUAACAUCUCUCAAUGUAGAUGUAUUUUUUUGUUUCAUUCUCUAUAAAUUGAACUAAAGUAUUUUAUAAGAGUUUUUUUGUUACUUAUAUUUUAAAUCUGUUUGUUUUUGGUCUACGUUCGUUAGUUAAAUAUUUGAAUAGGUACACUGAUUUGCCAAACGUAUUGCAACAAACAUGGCUGACGUCAUCACAACUUUGCUUGCUUCAAAUUUUAUUUUUGUUACU